rnacentral:rRNA from 1 species
GCCGCGUGCAGGAAGACGGCCCUCUGGGUUGUAAACUGCUUUUAUCUGGGAAGAAAAAGGCCAUGCGUGGCAAAUUGCCGGUACCAGAUGAAUAAGCACCGGCUAACUCCGUGCCAGCAGCCGCGGUAAUACGGAGGGUGCGAGCGUUGUCCGGAUUUAUUGGGUUUAAAGGGUGCGUAGGCGGCUUAAUAAGUCAGCGGUGAAAGACCACGGCUCAACCGUGGCAGUGCCGUUGAUACUGUUUAGCUUGAGUGUCGGGUGGGUACAUGGAAUUGAUGGUGUAGCGGUGAAAUGCAUAGAUACCAUCAGGAACACCGAUAGCGAAGGCAUUGUACUGGCCGACAACUGACGCUGAUGCACGAAAGUGUGGGGAUCGAACAGGAUUAGAUACCCUGGUAGUCCACACCGUAAACGAUGAUUACUCGCUGUUAUGGUAAAGACCGUAGUGGCCAAGCGAAAGCGUUAAGUAAUCCACCUGGGGAGUACGCCGGCAACGGUG